rnacentral:rRNA from 1 species
UACGUAGGGGGCUAGCGUUGUCCGGAAUCAUUGGGCGUAAAGCGCGUGUAGGCGGUCCGGUAAGUCCGCUGUGAAAGUCGGGGGCUCAACCCUCGGAUGCCGGUGGAUACUGUCGGGCUUGAGUACGGAAGAGGCGAGUGGAAUUCCUGGUGUAGCGGUGAAAUGCGCAGAUAGUCAAGGAGGAACACCAAUUGCGAAGGCAGCUCGCUGGGACGUUACUGACGCUGAGACGCGAAGCGUGGGGAGCAAACAGG